AGUGAACGCUGGCGGCAGGCCUAACACAUGCAAGUCGAGCGGCAGCGCGUCCGACCACCCUCGGGUGGUCGGAUGGCGGCGAGCGGCGGACGGGUGAGGAAUGCAUCGGAAUCUGCCUCGUUGUGGGGGAUAACGUAGGGAAACUUACGCUAAUACCGCAUACGCCCUGAGGGGGAAAGCGGGGGAUUCUUCGGAACCUCGCGCGAUUGGAGCGGCCGAUGUCGGAUUAGCUAGUAGGUGAGGUAAAGGCUCACCUAGGCGACGAUCCGUAGCGGGUCUGAGAGGAUGAUCCGCCACACUGGGACUGAGACACGGCCCAGACUCCUACGGGAGGCAGCAGUGGGGAAUUUUGGACAAUGGGCGCAAGCCUGAUCCAGCCAUGCCGCGUGAGUGAAGAAGGCCU
rnacentral:rRNA from 1 species